AUUGAACGCUAGCGGCGUGCCUAAUACAUGCAAGUCGAACGCAGUGGGGACGGGUGAGUAACACGUGGGUAACCUCCCAUCAGAGGGGAUAACACUUGGAAACAGGUGCUAAACCGAUACUGAUGGAUGGACCCGCGGUGCAUUAGCUAGUGGGGGAGGUAACGGCGCACCAAGGCCACGAUGCAUAGCCGACCUGAGAGGGGGAUCGGCCACACUGGAACUGAGACACGGUCCAGACUCCUACGGGAGGCAGCAGUAGGGAAUCUUCGGCAAUGGGCGAAAGCCUGACCGAGCAACGCCGCGUGAGUGAAGAAGGUUUUCGGAUCGUAAAACUCUGUUAUUAGAGAAGCGGUAUCUAACCAGAAAGCCACGGCUAACUACGUGCCAGCAGCCGCGGUAAUAC
rnacentral:rRNA from 1 species